AAAAGUCUAAGUGCAGUUUUA
rnacentral:miRNA from 1 species